UGAGGAAUCUUCCACAAUGGGCGAAAGCCUGAUGGAGCGACACCGCGUGAAGGAUGAAGCCUUUGUUGGUGUAAACUUCUUUUCUCUCCGAAGAUAAUGACGGUAGGAGAGGAAUAAGGGGCGGCAAACUUCGUGCCAGCAGCCGCGGUAAUACGAAGGCCCCAAGCGUUAUCCGGAAUUACUGGGCGUAAAGCGUCUGUAGGUGGUCAUUUAAGUCUUUCCGUGAAACUCCAGGGCUCAACCCCGGAUUGCGGGAGAAACUGGAUGACUUGAGUGUGGGAGAGGCUAGCAGAACGGUAAGAGUAGGGGUGCAAUCCGUUGAUACUUACCAGAAUACCAAAAGCGAAGGCAGCUAGCUGGAACACUACUGACACUGAGAGACGAAAGCGUGGGGAGCAAA
rnacentral:rRNA from 1 species